rnacentral:rRNA from 1 species
GACAGAGGGGGCAAGCGUUGCUCGGAAUUACUGGGCGUAAAGGGCGCGUAGGCGGAAUGGCAAGUCGGUCGUGAAAUCCUUCGGCUCAACCGAAGAACGUCGAUCGAAACUGCCGUUCUUGAGGAUUGCAGAGGAGACUGGAAUUCCCGGUGUAGCGGUGAAAUGUGUAGAGAUCGGGAGGAACACCGGUGGCGAAGGCGGG